rnacentral:rRNA from 1 species
UACGAAGGGGGCUAGCGUUGUUCGGAAUUACUGGGCGUACAGCGCACGUAGGCGGACAUUUAAGUCAGGGGUGAAAUCCCAGAGCUCAACUCUGGAACUGCCUUUGAUACUGGGUGUCUUGAGUAUGGAAGAGGUGAGUGGAAUUCCGAGUGUAGAGGUGAAAUUCGUAGAUAUUCGGAGGAACACCAGUGGCGAAGGCGGCUCACUGGUCCAUUACUGACGCUGAGGUGCGAAAGCGUGGGGAGCAAACAGG